AAUGAACGCUGGCGGCGUGCUUAACACAUGCAAGUCGAACGAGAAAGCCUCUUCGGAGGCGAGUAGAGUGGCGAACGGGUGAGUAACACGUAAGAAUCUGUCCUUUAGUGAAGAAUACCCUCGAGAAAUCGAGGCUAAUGCUGCAUACCUCCCUUCGGGGAGAAAGGUGGCCUCUCGCUACCGCUAGAGGAGGAGCUUGCGGACUAUUAGCUAGUUGGUGAGGUAAUGGCCCACCAAGGCUAUGAUGGUUAGCCGGCCUGAGAGGGUGAUCGGCCACAUUGGAACUGAGACACGGUCCAGACUCCUACGGGAGGCUG
rnacentral:rRNA from 1 species